rnacentral:tRNA from 1 species
GCGUGAAUAGCUCAGUUGGUUAGAGUGUAGUGCUGAUAACACUAAGGUUGCAGGUUCGAUCCCCAUAUGGGACAGCUGCA